UGGGGAAUCUUCCGCAAUGGACGAAAGUCUGACGGAGCAACGCCGCGUGAGUGAAGACGGCCUUCGGGUUGUAAAGCUCUGUGAUCCGGGACGAAAGAGCCUGAGGUAAAUAGCCUAAGGAAGUGACGGUACCGGAAAAGCAAGCCACGGCUAACUACGUGCCAGCAGCCGCGGUAAUACGUAGGUGGCAAGCGUUGUCCGGAAUUAUUGGGCGUAAAGCGCGCGCAGGCGGCUUCCUAAGUCCAUCUUAAAAGUGCGGGGCUUAACCCCGGGAUGGGAUGGAAACUGGGAAGCUGGAGUAUCGGAGAGGAAAGUGGAAUUCCUAGUGUAGCGGUGAAAUGCGUAGAGAUUAGGAAGAACACCGGUGGCGAAGGCGACUUUCUGGACGAAAACUGACGCUGAGGCGCGAAAGCGUGGGGAGCAAACAGG
rnacentral:rRNA from 1 species